rnacentral:tRNA from 1 species
GUUCCUGUAGUUGAGUGACAACAGUGGUUUUUCAAGUCACAAGUCUUGGUUAAAGUCCGGGCGGGAAUU